rnacentral:rRNA from 1 species
CUACGGGCUGCUGCAGUGAGGAAUUUUGCGCAAUGGGGGAAACCCUGACGCAGCAACGCCGCGUGAGUGAUGAAGGCCUUCGGGUCGUAAAGCUCUGUCAAGUGGGAAGAACCCACCCUGUGCUAAUAUCACAGGGUGCUGACGGUACCACUGAAGGAAGCACCGGCUAACUCCGUGCCAGCAGCCGCGGUAAUACGGAGGGUGCAAGCGUUAUUCGGAAUUACUGGGCGUAAAGGGCGCGUAGGCGGCCUUUUAAGUCAGAUGUGAAAUCCCGGGGCUCAACCCCGGAAGUGCAUCUGAAACUAAGAGGCUUGAGUAUGGGAGAGGGAAGUGGAAUUCCUGGUGUAGAGGUGAAAUUCGUAGAUAUCAGGAGGAACACCGGUGGCGAAGGCGACUUCCUGGACCAAUACUGACGCUGAGGCGCGAAGGCGUGGGGAGCAAACAGGAUUAGAUACCCCCGUAGUC